CCUACGGGAGGCAGCAGUGAGGAAUAUUGGUCAAUGGACGAGAGUCUGAACCAGCCAAGUAGCGUGAAGGAUGACUGCCCUAUGGGUUGUAAACUUCUUUUAUAUGGGAAUAAAAUGUUCCACGUGUGGGCUUUUGUAUGUACCAUAUGAAUAAGGAUCGGCUAACUCCGUGCCAGCAGCCGCGGUAAUACGGAGGAGCCGAGCGUUAUCCGGAUUUAUUGGGUUUAAAGGGAGCGUAGGUGGAUUGUUAAGUCAGUUGUGAAAGUUUGCGGCUCAACCGUAAAAUUGCAGUUGAAACUGGCAGUCUUGAGUACAGUAGAGGUGGGCGGAAUUCGUGGUGUAGCGGUGAAAUGCUUAGAUAUCACGAAGAACUCCGAUUGCGAAGGCAGCUCACUGGACUGCAACUGACACUGAGGCUCGAAAGUGUGGGUAUCAAACAGGAUUAGAUACCCGAGUAGUC
rnacentral:rRNA from 1 species